rfam:Mus musculus chromosome 17 genomic contig, GRC reference assembly alternate locus group NOD/ShiLtJ.
GCAGAUGUAGCUCAGUUGGUAGAGUGUUUGCCUCGAAUGCCUAGGGCCUGGGUUCAAUGCCCAGCACUGCA